rnacentral:tRNA from 3 species
GCGGGUAUUGUUUAAUGGAUAAAAUUUAUUCUUGCCAAGGAUAAGAUGCGGGUUCGAUUCCCGCUACCCGCCC